rnacentral:rRNA from 1 species
UACGUAGGUGGCAAGCGUUAUCCGGAAUUACUGGGCGUAAAGGGUGUGCAGGCGGGGAAGCAAGUGGUGUAUGAAAUCUCCCAGCUUAACUGGGAUAGGUUAUGCCAGACUGCUUUUCUAGAGGACGAGAGAGGGGGGUGGAAUUCCGGGUGUAGUGGUGAAAUGCGUAGAGAUCCGGAGGAACCCCAGAGGCGAAGGCGGCCCCCUGGCUCGUACCUGACGCCUCAGCCACGAAAGCAUGGGGAGCGAACGGG